rnacentral:lncRNA from 1 species
UUGAAAGAUAGGUAACCAGUCGUCUGUAAAGGAUCAAUAUAGUUGGGGUGCAGAUACAGGCCUUCCCCUAGGGAAACACUUGCAUCAGUAUUAGUGAGAGACCAAGUACACAUCUGAAGCAUUCCUGUGCUUUCUGUCCACUUGUCAGGUGAAGUUGCCACGUAUGACUGUCCAUCAGCCAGGAGAUGAACCCCCACCCGUGAGGCAGUGACUCAAGGUGCAAGGGAGUCCGGCAAGAAGUGUGGCGCACCCGAGUUGCUGCCACUGCUUUUUGGAUCACCCAGCACGGUCUUCUGAAGUCUUCCUGAAAGCAUCCCUGGUGAUCUGUGAGCCCUUGGUCGUGUUGCCCGCCUUCUUCCUGUGGGUCUUGCUGGAUGCUCAUUGUCCCUGUGAGCCGAGGCCCUGGAGGCUUCAGAUUUAGGU